AUUUUUCUUUUCUUUUUUCUGGAUAUUCAUAUGCUGUCUAAUUUCUGUGUUUGAAACAAUUCUAGCCGGGAAUUCACACAUCGAGUGAAAUCAAUAUCAAUGGCCAACUUUAGUGCAGAGGAAGUUAGUGCUCUUCAAGAAGGGGGAAAUGAGAUCACUAAACCAGCAAAAGGAUAUAUCCAGUUCGCCUAUGGUGCAUCUUGUUUGAGAUAUAUGGGAACAUUUUCCAACUCUAAGGAGAGAGACAUUCUAGAGCAAAUAGUGAUGGAGCUGCUGAUGAUUCUGCUCAUAAGCAGAGAAAUGCAUUUUCUAGUAGCAUAGGAUCCAUAGAUGGGAAUGCCAUGGAAAUUAAAAGGGGAAAUUCAAGAGGCAGGAUUGAUUUCGAUGCUAUUACUAAACCUUCCCAGAAAAAACUAGUAAUAUCAUCUUCAGCUAGUCAAUCUGUGAUAAUGUCCUCUGAAAAUAAUUUGUUAGCUUUUGACAGUUUAAGGAGGAGAAGAUAUCCCAGGGUGCUUCAGACAGUAAAACAAUGGGGGCUCCAAAUUGUGAGUUCCUGCAGCUACGCCUUUUCCCAUUACAGGCAAUUUGCACACUGAACACAUAGAUAACAUUCCAGCAUUAACAAUUGGUGGUGUUUCUGCCACUGCAUCAAUUUCGCCCUGUGGCAACAAUGCUCCUGCUCCUGCUCCUGCAGUUGCAUCUUCAGGUACAUCAUCAUUAUUACCUGUCAGCGAUGGUGAUUCCUGUAAGGUAAGACCAUAAGAGUUGUAAGGUUCUUGACAGAUGUUCUCUAUUACUUUUUGAUUUCGUUUUUUAAGGUGAUUAGAUUUUAUCCUUUUGCUUUCUGCAUGCUUGCCAUAGUCCUGGAGUACUCCGCUUGGACCCAGUGGCCAAGAGUCAUGGAGUACUCUGACUUUGCAGGCAUCUCAAGUUUUCUCUAAGAAGUCUCCUGAUACUGGUUCUGCUGGUGUGUAACAGUAUCUCCCUUCAGAGAAAGGGUAUAGUGAAAGAACAGAACUUUUAGAGACAUCAAGGAGUUGGGGGUUUUUGGUAGUGAUGGAGCUGUUUCUGACAGCAUAAACACAAAUCAGAGGCUGGGUGGAGGAUUCGCUAUCUAGGCAACCUUGAGUUCUUUCUCUUCCCUUGGAGGAAACUAUUUUGGGUAAAUAUGAGAAACAGGACUAAUCAUAUGAUAAUCUUUUCAGGCAGCAUGUUCUAAUUGUGCCUAAAAUAUCUGAAGAAAUAAACAUGAUUUUCUUGCUUUGUUUGAAGAUGAGUACUGCAAAGUUGCUUUAGAUAACAGAACCUUAGGCUCUCUGUUAAUAACUUCUGGGCAGGAGAAGCUUCAAAUGUACACUUGGCCAUGUAAAUUUGGCACUAAGAAAAAAGAAGAAGAGGGAUUGGAUUGAUUGCUUGGAGAUUCCACAUUCAUAUAUUGGCAUUUAGUUGUAAUCUUGUUACCACAGUUUUGGAGUUAUAUAUAACUCUAUAAAUGUAUAGAGCUAUAUGCUACCUUGUGCCAGAGCAAAUGAUUGUUCAUCGAAUUUAUGUCUGCUUUGAGCAAAUGAUGGCAAUAGAAAGUUGGCAUUCAGGACUGAGUACAAGAACACACAAAUAUGAA